AGAGUUUGAUCCUGGCUCAGGACGAACGCUGGCGGCGUGCUUAACACAUGCAGGUCGAACGAUGAACCUCCUUCGGGAGGGGAUUAGUGGCGAACAGGUGAGUAACACGUGGGCAAUCUGCCCUUCACUCUGGGACAAGCCCUGGAAACGGGGUCUAAUACCGGAUACGACUGCGGAAGGCAUCUUCCGCGGUGGAAAGCUCCGGCGGUGAAGGAUGAGCCCGCGGCCUAUCAGCUUGUUGGUGGGGUAAUGGCCUACCAAGGCGACGACGGGUAGCCGGCCUGAGAGGGCGACCGGCCACACUGGGACUGAGACACGGCCCAGACUCCUACGGGAGGCAGCAGUGGGGAAUAUUGCACAAUGGGCGAAAGCCUGAUGCAGCGACGCCGCGUGAGGGAUGACGGCCUUCGGGUUGUAAACCUCUUUCAGCAGGGAAGAAGCGAAAGUGACGGUACCUGCAGAAGAAGCGCCGGCUAACUACGUGCCAGCAGCCGCGGUAAUACGUAGGGCGCAAGCGUUGUCCGGAAUUAUUGGGCGUAAAGAGCUCGUAGGCGGCCAGUCACGUCGGAUGUGAAAGCCCGAGGCUUAACCUCGGGUCUGCAUUCGAUACGGGCUGGCUAGAGUGUGGUAGGGGAGAUCGGAAUUCCUGGUGUAGCGGUGAAAUGCGCAGAUAUCAGAGGAACACCGGUGGCGAAGGCGGAUCUCUGGGCCAUUACUGACGCU
rnacentral:rRNA from 1 species